UACGUAGGCAGCGAGCGUUGUUCGGAAUUACUGGGCGUAAAGAGUGUGUAGGCGGUGUUCCCAGUCUGUUGUGAAAUCUCCCGGCUUAACUGGGAGGGUGCAGCGGAAACUAGAAUGCUAGAGGGUGGGAGAGGUAAGCGGAAUUCCUGGUGUAGCGGUGAAAUGCGUAGAUAUCAGGAGGAACACCGGUGGCGAAGGCGGGUCUCUGGGCCGUAACUGACGCUGAGGAGCGAAAGCGUGGGGAGCGAACAGG
rnacentral:rRNA from 1 species